rnacentral:rRNA from 1 species
UACGUAGGGAGCGAGCGUUGUCCGGAAUCAUUGGGCGUAAAGCGCGCGGAGGCGGCCCGAUAAGUCCGCUGUAAAAGUCAACGGCUCAACUGUUGAAAGCCGGUGGAUACUGUCGGGCUAGAGUACGGAAGAGGCAAGUGGAAUUCCUGGUGUAGCGGUGGAAUGCGCAGAUAUCAGGAGGAACACCGGUGGCGAAGGCGGAUCUCUGGGCCUUACCUGACGCUGAGGAGCGAAAGCAUGGGGAGCAAACAGG